CUGUUUUUUCUUCUCUUGUGAAGUUUCAUUCCUUAUUAUGAUUCCGGUUUCCAGAACAGGUUCCAGACUAUCUUGUGUCCUCAGGUUCUGUUUUUAUGACCUUCCUUUCUAUGUUGUUAAAAGCUGAGUGAGGAAAAUCCUUUAAGAUACCAAGGCCUUCCGAGGACUGGGACUUUGCCUCGCCACCAGGGUAAAGCCGGAUCAAUUCACUGCACAGUGGUUUUCCAAUGUGCUGCUCUCCAUCAAGUGAAAUGUGCUGCAGCUGUCUAUUGGGAAGGUUUGACAUGCGGAGAUUCAGCGGCCUUUCACCUUGUCCAUCAACAUUAUCUAAUGACAUGCCAUUGGGGCUGUGCUCUUCUGAGU
rnacentral:lncRNA from 1 species